rnacentral:tRNA from 1 species
GUAAGUAUGUCCGAGUGGUUAAGGAGUUUGACUUGAAAUCAAAUGUGCAAUGCACGCGUAGGUUCAAAUCCUGCUACUGACG